UGCAGAGGGUGCGAGCGUUAAUCGGAAUUACUGGGCGUAAAGCGCGCGUAGGCGGCUUUGCAAGUCGGGUGUGAAAUCCCCAGGCUUAACCUGGGAACUGCAUUCGAGACUGCAUUGCUAGAGUAUGGGAGAGGGAAGUGGAAUUUCCGGUGUAGCGGUGAAAUGCGUAGAUAUCGGAAGGAACAUCAGUGGCGAAAGCGACUUCCUGGACCAAUACUGACGCUCAUGUGCGAAAGCGUGGGGAGCAAACAGG
rnacentral:rRNA from 1 species